UCCCACAUAACUUCUUUAUUUCCAUUAUUCAUUAGCUUUACAUGCAUUUUUCACUUAAUUUUAUAUAUAAUAACAUUGAUAACAUAGUAUAUAUAUUUAGAAGAGCACAUAGUAAAAAAGAUGAUCAUUUGACCAAGAGGAAGACUAUGAAAACCUAAUAACUAAAGAGAGAGAUAAUCAAUCACACAUGUUUCAUCUCGGUUCUCUAUUGUUUCCUUAUAAGUCAAUAUUUAGGUAAUUGGAAAAAAAAAUUCUUGUACAUCCCAGUGGUUUCUGCUUGUCCUUGUGGUUUUCCCCAAGAAGAAGAGAAGCCACAGCCCAAAAGCCAAUGGAAAAGAACAAAGGUAUUACAGACAUCAACAUAUCUGGAUUGACCAAAACAAAGACAUCUGGGCUCUCUCACCACAUGGAAGCAGCUGAGAAUAUUCUCAUUAGAAAAAAGGAGUUGGGGAAAGGCGUUUGAUCUAGAGGGGAACUAACUCCUGGUGGAGUUCAUGGCUGAGAGAUGGACAAACCUAUAACACGGAGAAGAGGGUCGGAAAGUACAAGCAGAAGGUAAAAUACAGGGGUAGAAACUGAGAGAGAAGUUCAUCUCGUGUGUUUGUAACCAUGCUGAUGGAAACAAACCUGGGCUGCCAGUUGCAUAAAAGCAAAGCAUAUAUAGCCAUGUAUAGUGCAUAAUACUUAAAGUACGUUAAAUAAUAACAGUAAGCUCUGUGCUACUGCUUGUGUGCUCACUGUUUAUGUUUACUGGUUUAGCAAUCCAUUGGUGAUGAAGAUUGAACCCGAGGAUGCAUGCAUGCUACGUGCAAACCACUGAGCUACAUUUCUAGCACCAUCAAUAUUGCUUGUGAUUUUAGAGUGUAAUACUUCUACUUACAUUUUUAAAAAGCUUACUGUAAAAUGCUAUAUUGUGUUUUGUUGAUGGCAACCUCAUUCCAUUUCAUAGUUACAGUAUUUCUUGAUCUCUCUGUUUGUUUGGUUCACCAUGGCCCUAGGAGCUAUAUGCCACAUCAAACAUACCAUACAUAUAAACUUACAUGUGAGGAGCUGGAGAUGGAGAGAUGGCUCGGUGGUUAAGAGCACUGGCUGCUCUUCCAGAGGACCUGAGUUCAGUUCCCAGCACCCACAUGGUAGCUCACACUGUCUGUAUUUCUAGUUCCAGGGAUAUCUGACACUGUCACAUAGACACACAUGCAGGCAAAAUACCAAUGCACGUAAAAAUAAUGGUAAAUCAUAAAAAAAUAAAAAAAAACUUACAUGUGUCUUUUGUAGUACCAAUUACAUUUGUGAAAUCUGAUGUUUGUACAGUGAUGAAAUCACAUAACUAUAUACUUCUUAGAAUGUUUUCUUGUCUCUAAGGGUCACAUAACUAUAUUUAUAUGGUAAAGAUAUGCAUACAUUAUAAAUUAAUAAUACUUUAUGCUAACUGUAUAAUUUGAUAAACACAAUAACCCACAGAAAUGUGAGUAAUCAUGCUGCUUAUCUACUAUUCUGAGUUUCCCUCCGCCUGUAAAAAUCUUGAAUAAUAACUUUCACUGUAUCCUAUAUAUAGCGUAUGCAGAAUGGCAUCCACUUCCUGUCUGAGACAUUGCCUUAUUUUCUUUUCUUAAAACCACAGUAUUUAUUCGUGUGUGUGUGUGUGUGUGUGUGUGUGUGUGUGUGUGUGUGUGUGUGUAGUAUACAUGCAUGCCUGCAUGUAGAGGCCAGAGGAAGAUGUUGGAUGCCCUGUUGCAUCCUUCUCUGCCUUACUUCCUUGACACAGACUCUCUCUCAUUAUACCUGGGGUUACACUGGUGGCCAGGUCCUCCAUUCCCCACUCUCCACAGCACUGCGGUUCUCGCAGCCAUGCCUGACUUUUUAUGUGGGUGCUGGGGAUUUGAACUGAGGUCCUCAUACUCGUGAAGCAAAACUUCCUACUUGGUAAGUUCUCCCCAAGCCCCUUGUCUUAAUUUCUGAUCGAUGUUAUUUUUCUCUAUUCUAAAAGCAAUACUGAAAGGAGACCAUUUUGCCUCAGCGUAGAAUGAAGAUGUCCAGUCCUGGAUUCUAUUUUGGGGCCCUCUUGGAAGUGAUCUUCGAGUAUUUCUUCCUCUUUCAUCGGAGACUUCUAGACUUAACCUGCGUCUUAAAUACAAGCUUUUAAAAAAAUAUAUAUUCCUUGAAGAAGGACAUGUGGGUACGGGGCGACAAGGGGAAGGGAGUGUCCCUUGAUCUUUCUGUUCCUCUUCCCAGUGGGGCCACCUUGAGUAAAACCUCCUUCUCCUUUCCAUUUUUAGUUUGGCUCUUUUAAUUGUUUAUCGAAGAUGAGAGGUCAGAACUCACUCGGCACCUGAUG